GAUGAACGCUGGCGGGGUGCCUAAUACAUGCAAGUCGAGCGAACAGACGAGGAGCUUGCUCCUCUGACGUUAGCGGCGGACGGGUGAGUAACACGUGGAUAACCUACCUAUAAGACUGGGAUAACUUCGGGAAACCGGAGCUAAUACCGGAUAAUAUAUUGAACCGCAUGGUUCAAUAGUGAAAGACGGUUUUGCUGUCACUUAUAGAUGGAUCCGCGCCGCAUUAGCUAGUUGGUAAGGUAACGGCUUACCAAGGCAACGAUGCGUAGCCGACCUGAGAGGGUGAUCGGCCACACUGGAACUGAGACACGGUCCAGACUCCUACGGGAGGCAGCAGUAGGGAAUCUUCCGCAAUGGGCGAAAGCCUGACGGAGCAACGCCGCGUGAGUGAUGAAGGUCUUCGGAUCGUAAAACUCUGUUAUUAGGGAAGAACAAAUGUGUAAGUAACUAUGCACGUCUUGACGGUACCUAAUCAGAAAGCCACGGCUAACUACGUG
rnacentral:rRNA from 1 species